rnacentral:rRNA from 1 species
GAUGAACGCUGGCGGCGUGCCUAAUACAUGCAAGUCGAGCGAACAGAUGAGGAGCUUGCUCCUCUGACGUUAGCGGCGGACGGGAGAGUAACACGUGGAUAACCUACCUAUAAGACUGGGAUAACUUCGGGAAAUCGGAGCUAAUACCGGAUAAUAUAUUGAACCGCGUUGUUCACUAGUGAAAUUCGGUUUUUCUGUCAGUUAUAGACGGAUCCGCGCCGAAUUAGCUAGUUGGUAAGGUAACGGCUUACCAAGGCAACGAUGCGUAGCCGACCUGAGAGGGUGAUCGGCCACACUGGAAGUGAGAAACGGCCCAGACUCCUACGGGAGGAAGCAGUAGGGAAUCUUCCGCAAUGGGCGAAAGCUUGACGGAGCAACGCCGCGUGAGGGAUGAAGGUCUUCGGAUCGUAAAACUAUGUUAUUAGGAAAGAACAAAUGUGUAAGUAACUAUGAACGUAUUGACGGUACCUAAUCAGAAAGCCACGGCUAACUACGUG